UCCUCUGUGGCGCGAUUGGCUAGCGCGUUUGACUGUUAAUCAGGAGGUUGGAAGUUCGAGCCUUCCCGGAGGAG
rnacentral:tRNA from 1 species